rnacentral:rRNA from 1 species
UACGUAGGGUGCAAGCGUUGUCCGGAAUUAUUGGGCGUAAAGAGCUCGUAGGCGGUGUGUCACGUCGUUCGUGAAAACCUGCAGCUUAACUGUGGGCGUGCGGUCGAUACGGGGCAUCACUGGAGUUCGGCAGGGGAGACUGGAAUUCCUGGUGUAGCGGUGAAAUGCGCAGAUAUCAGGAGGAACACCGGUGGCGAAGGCGGGUCUCUGGGGCCGAUACUGACGCUGAGGAGCGAAAGCGUGGGGAGCAAACAGG